UACGUAGGGGCCAAGCGUUGUCCGGAUUUAUUGGGCGUAAAGAGCUCGUAGGCGGUUCGGCAAGUCAGCUGUGAAAUCUCCACGCUCAACGUGGAGGGGUCAGCUGAUACUGCUGUGACUCGAGUCCGGUAGGGGAGUGUGGAAUUCCCGGUGUAGCGGUGAAAUGCGCAGAUAUCGGGAGGAACACCAGUAGCGAAGGCGGCUCACUGGCCCGGUACUGACGCUGAGGUGCGAAAGCGUGGGGAGCAAACAGG
rnacentral:rRNA from 1 species